rnacentral:rRNA from 1 species
GACGAACGCUGGCGGCGUGCCUAACACAUGCAAGUCGAACGGAGAAUUUCAAUAAGUUUACUUAGCGGAAUUUUUAGUGGCGGACGGGUGAGUAACGCGUGGGUAACCUACCCAUAAACCCGGGACAACCCUUGGAAACGAGGGCUAAUACCGGAUAAUCUUGGUUCGUGGCAUCACGAGUUAAGAAAAGGUGGCCUCUGUACAUGCUACCGAUUAUGGAUGGACCCGCGUCUGAUUAGCUAGUUGGUGGGGUAAAGGCCUACCAAGGCGACGAUCAGUAGCCGGCCUGAGAGGGUGAACGGCCACACUGGGACUGAGACACGGCCCAGACUCCUACGGGAGGCU